rnacentral:rRNA from 1 species
GACGAACGCUGGCGGCGUGCCUAACACAUGCAAGUCGAGCGAACAGACCAGGAGCUUGCUCCUCUGACGUUAGCGGAGGACGGGAGAGUAACAUGUGGAUAAACUAACUAUAAGACUGGGAUACUUACGGGAAAUCGGCGCUAAUACCGGAUAAUUUAUUGCAUCGUAUGGUUCCAUCGUGAAAGUCGGUUUUUCGGUCAGUUAUUGAUGCAUCCAAGCCGCAUUAGCUAGUUGGUCAGGUACCGGGUUACCAAGGCGACGAUGCGUAGCAGACCUGAGAGGCUGAUCGGCCACACUGGAACUGAGGCACGGUCCAGACUCCUACGAGAGGGAGCAGUAGGGAAUCUUCCGCAAUGGGCGAAAGCCUGACGGAGCAGCGCCGCGUGAGUGAUGAAGGUCUUCGGAUCGUGAAACUCUGUUAUUAGUGAGGAACAAAUAUGUAAUUAACUGUGCACGUCAUGACGGUACCUAGUCAGAAAGCCACGGCUAACUACGUG